ACAGAUCAGUUAUGGCUGGAGUCAGGAUUGUGCUCCUGGCUAGGUGCAGGAGUUGCAGUACCUGGGCAGAGCAGUGGCUGGCUGAAGCUAGAGAAGUGAGGAAGGUGGCCUUGGCUGGUGACUGGGACUCAAGCAAGACUUCAGCCCCGAGGUGGAAGGUGAACCCCAGGAAUGCACCUUUGAACUCUGCAUCUUCACUAACCAAGGCCAGCUAACUGGACCAGUGCAUUUCAUUGAAUAGUUAAAUGUCUCCACCAACUGAGAAUCCAAUAUGUCCUUUGGAAGAACAUUACACAGCAGAAUAGAUUUCAUAUUUUGGAUUAUAUUGAUUUUUCUAGUUUAGUUUUGUUUCUGGGACUUUCCACAAUGUGUUACAGAAAGAUAGCAUGAUCUUUGCACCAAAGAAGCUACUCUAGAAAAGACAAAAGCAAGAUGGAGGUGAUUGGUAGAGGAAAAGGAACAACAAACAAGUAAGUCUGCAGAUCCCACUAAUUAUGCUUGGUGAAUCUUUGUGUAUCCCUCAAGUCCUGGAAAACCUUUGGAUGGUUAUCUGAAGCUUUCUAAAUUUAUUGGCCUUUUUUUGGUCUUGAAACCUCCAAAGAACAGGCUUUCACAAGAGAUUUCUACUGUGGUUAUUACUAUUAAUGUUCUAUUAUUUAUACCAUGCUAUGGGUGUGCAUGAUGCUUCACAGACAAAUACAAUGACAGGUUAUUGCCUCAAGUUGCUUGGAGUCUAGUAAACAAAGGGAAGGGGUGAGGUUUGGGUUAGACUGGAAGUAACCUUUCUUGUGGUAGCUUGGUGCUUCAAUUUCUAGUUCUUCCCCCACCCCCAGUCUGUUAACGUUUGUUCUGAGCCAAAGGUUCAAAUUUUAGAUAAAUCUUAAGGCUGAUUCUAAUCUUAGACUAGUUCAUCUGUGUUUCCUACACCCCUAAACUUUACACAUCUUCUCUAGGCUUCCAAGGAGCUUGACUGCCAUAGCAUAGGUCAGGUUGCAGAGGCAGAUGAGGCUGGAAGCUGGAGUACAGCUGCUGUAUAACAAAGACGUAUACAGUAAAAUUAGAGCAUACAGUUUCUCAAUUAUCUUAGUGCUUCUGAAAUAUUGUAGUGAAUUAUCUUGGGAAUCUAGGACCCAGCCUGGCACUCCCUCCUCACCUCCAGCACAGGGGGCAUACUGGGGGUGGGGAAGGGGCAUGACAGAGAUCCCCCUUUCAGACUUUAUGCUAGUGGUGUACAUUAGAGCAGUCCUGUGGCUGCUCUAGCUACCACUGGGGCCAGACUUGUGCAGAAUCCCAUCCUCUGUCAAAGCUGAAUUCAGCUAUAGGGGAAAAUUAAGCUCUGUUUUUGUGGCUGUGCAGCCACGCUAACACCUAGUGGGCACUACCAGAAUACAAAUAAUAAAUAACAUGAAAGUGGGCUAGCUCUAUAACUCGGUCUCUAGCACAGAAAAAUAAUCCCUUCCGUAGCCCAUGUUCUGCUGUCUGAUAAUAGCUGUUCCCUCUUGUACAAGGAAAUUCCUUUCUAGACACUCCUCCAGGAUUCUAGAGUUAGAUGCAUUUUGUGUUCACAAUAUUUAGUGUUACUAUAUGCUGACAUUGCAUUGGAUCUCUUUGGAGCCAAUGGUAAAUACU